GAUGAACGCUGGCGGCGUGCCUAAUACAUGCAAGUCGAGCGAACGGACGCGAAGCUUGCUUUUCUGAUGUUAGCGGCGGACGGGUGAGUAACACGUGGAUAACCUACCUAUAAGACUGGGAUAACUUCGGGAAACCGGAGCUAAUACCGGAUAAUAUUUUGAACCGCAUGGUUCAAAAGUGAAAGACGGUCUUGCUGUCACUUAUAGAUGGAUCCGCGCUGCAUUAGCUAGUUGGUAAGGUAACGGCUUACCAAGGCAACGAUGCAUAGCCGACCUGAGAGGGUGAUCGGCCACACUGGAAGUGAGACACGGUCCAGACUCCUACGGGAGGCAGCAGUAGGGAAUCGUCCGCAAUGGGCGAAAGCCUGACGGAGCGACGCCGCGUGAGUGGUGAAGGUCUUCGGAUCGUAAAACUGUGUUAUUAGGGAAGAACAUAUGUGUAAGUAACUGUGCACAGCUUGACGGUACCUAAUCAGAAAGCCACGGCUAACUACGUG
rnacentral:rRNA from 1 species